GACGAACGCUGGCGGCGUGCUUAACACAUGCAAGUCGAACGGAAAGGCCUCUUUCGGGGGGUACUCGAGAGGCGAACGGGUGAGUAACACGUGAGUAUCCUGCCCCUUACUCUGGGAUAACACUAGGAAACUGGGGCGAAUACCGGAUAUGAGCUCCCGCGGCACGGGGGGGGUGGGAGAGUUUCGGGGGUGGGGGGUGGACUCGCGGCGUAUCAGCUUGUUGGUGGGGGAGUGGCUUAUCAAGGGGUUGACGGGUAGCCGGCCGGGGAGGGUGACCGGCCACAUUGGGAAGGAGAUACGGCCCAGACUCCUACGGGAGGCAGCAGGGGGGAAUAUUGCACAAGGGGUGGAAGCCUGAUGCAGCAACGCCGGGUGCGGGAUGACGGCCUUCGGGUUGUAAACCGCUUUCGCUCAUGACGAAGCUUUGUGUGACGGUAGUGGGUAAAGAAGCACCGGCUAACUACGUG
rnacentral:rRNA from 1 species